GACGAACGCUGGCGGCGUGCCUAACACAUGCAAGUCGAACGGUAAGGCCCUUCGGGGUACACGAGUGGCGAACGGGUGAGUAACACGUGGGUGAUCUGCCCUGCACUUCGGGAUAAGCCUGGGAAACUGGGUCUCAUACCGGGCAGGAUCGCCGCCCGCCUGGGGGGUGGUGGGAAGGUUUUGCGGUGUGGUGUGGGCCCGCGGCCGAUCCGCUUGGUGGUGGGGUGAUGGCCUACCAAGGCGACGAGGGUUAGCCGGCCUGAGAGGGUGACCGGCCAGACUGGGACUGAGGUACGGCCCAGACUCCUACGGGAGGCAGCAGUGGGGAAUAUUGCACAAUGGGCGCAAGCCUGAUGCAGCGACGCCGCGUGGGGGAUGACGGCCUUCGGGUUGUAAACCUCUUUCAGCACCGACGAAGCGCAAGUGACGGUAGGUGCAGAAGAAGGACCGGCCAACUACGUGCCAGCCGCCGCCGUAA
rnacentral:rRNA from 1 species